rnacentral:ribozyme from 14 species
AAAACGGAAGAAGGACGAGGGAGUUGACUCGGUUGAUUUUGUUUUCUUCGUUUUGUUUGUUUGUUUGUUUUUUCUUUUCUUGAAUUUUGGGAA